rnacentral:rRNA from 1 species
AAUUGCUAGUAAUGGCAGGUCAGCAUACUGCCGUGAAUACGUUCCCGGGCCUUGUACACACCGCCCGUCACACCAUGAGAGUUGGGGAUACCCGAAGCCUGUGAGCUAACUAUUUAUAGGAGCAGCAGUCGAAGGUAGAAUCAAUGAUUGGGGUGAAGUCGUAACAAGGUAUC